rnacentral:rRNA from 1 species
UACAGAGGUCUCAAGCGUUGUUCGGAUUCAUUGGGCGUAAAGGGUGCGUAGGCGGAUUGCUAAGUCAGGGGUGAAAUCCUGGAGCUCAACUCCAGAACUGCCUUUGAUACUGGCGAUCUUGAGUCCGGGAGAGGUGAGUGGAACUGCGAGUGUAGAGGUGAAAUUCGUAGAUAUUCGCAAGAACACCAGUGGCGAAGGCGGCUCACUGGCCCGGUACUGACGCUGAGGUGCGAAAGCGUGGGGAGCAAACAGG